CACACACACACACACACACACACUUCGAGAGGGAGCAGCACACAGAAAAAGGCACACAUGCAGGGAAAGGAUGAGAAACAGACACACACAUGCAUACACAUGUACAGAGUGUCCUUUCCCCUCCAGAGACAAGCAGAGCCUGAGCUUGAGAUUGACCGACAGACACAGAGACCCGCAGACUCUCAGAGACGCACAGAGGGAGGGAGAACGAGAGAGAGGCACCCAGGGAGCGAGAGUCCCAGGGAAUGAGACACGCUCUCACGCGCACACACCGUGCGCGCUGGGGCAGACAGAACAGCGCUGCAGCCCGCCCGCCACAGGCGUCAGAAGCAGCAGGACAGGGAGGCAGAGAAGGCUGGAAGCCCAUGGAAGCUAUGCUGGAUUUGAGCCCAGAUCCCAAAUCUCCAGCCUGUUGUCUUCUCACCACCCACAAGUGCAGGGAGGCUGGUGGCUGUGUGCCAGCGGCCCUCCAUGCUGGGACCACCUGCCCGAGCCCCACUCAGACAACUGGAACAAGCUGGUGUUGGUGUCCAUCGAUCCCGGGACUGUGCCCCUACCCAGGGGUCUCCAGCUGGCAGAGAUGGACAGAACCUCACACAUCCAAUGGGAAGGAGCUAUCGUCCUACAUGCCUGGCUUCUGUCUCAGGCCUUAGCAAUGGCAGAAGUGACCUCCAAUCACUGGUAAGGUGUUAAGGUCAAUCUGCGGUGGGACCUAGCGCAGACCCUCUCUGAGCCCAUUUUUUUUUCUUUUUUAAAGUUUAUUUUGUAAGAGGGGGAGAGCACAAG